ensembl:lncRNA
CUGAAUCACCUGAAAAUGUCAACUAAAAUGAAAUAUUUGCAAUGUAAACACACACAAAAUUAUACAAUGAUACAACACACACAUAUAUUAAGAGAAGUUAAAUAAUACUAAUAUAUAUAUAUAUAUAUGUGUGUGUGUGUGUGUGUGUGUGUAUUGUGUUAGAUUACACAGAUGAUUUAAACAGAGAAAUGCAGGAACAGCAUUAACCAGCUGGGGCUAAUGGGGUCAUGUUAGCCAUCCACACCAUGACCCUUUGACCUAAAUGAGAAUCAACAACCCUUAGGAGGCCUGGUAAAAAUGCUUCCCUCUGAAUCAUUAUCUGCUAGUGUAACCGCUGGACAGUGUUGUUGUUGUUUUUUUUAUGUGUUUACUCACCUUUUGAUCUCAUUUUGUUUUAUUUUUGUACUCUCAAUUAUUUUCUCAUCCACAUAUUUUCUGAUCUCGUGGCUCCUGAGAAAACGCUCCUUGAUGGGAGGAUUCCCAGAAUUUUGUGUUGCCAAACAGGUUUCUGGAUCUUCCUUGGUGCCUCAGACAGUAUAUCUUUGUGAUAGCUCAGCCCCCCUGAAGACAGAACCGGAGAGGGAAUCAAGAAGUACGUAUCCAGCCCAGAUGGUGGAUCAGCACCUAGAAAGGACCUCUACAGCCCUGAAAGACAGCGGAGACCAGGACUAGAGCCCCAGAGACAGAUCCCCUGUAAAGACCUUGUCUCAGACGACCACCGGGACAAGACCACAGGAAACAGAUGAUUCUUCUGCACAAUCUGACUUUGCUGCAGCCUGGAAUUGAACUGCUGGUUUCGUCUGGUCAGAGGAGAACUGGCCCCCCAACUGAGCCUGGUUUCUCCCAAGGUUUUUUUCUCCAUUCUGUCACUGAUGGAGUUUUGGUUCCUUGCCGAUGUCGCCUCUGGCUUGCUUAGUUGGGGACACUUCAUUUACAGCGAUAUCGUUGACUUGAUUGCAAAUUAUUGCACAGAUACCAUUUAAACUAAACUGAGCAGCAUGAUGACAUCACUGAAUUCAAUGAUGAACUGCCUUUAACUGUCAUUUUGCAUUAUUGACACUGUUUUCCUAAUUAAUGUUGUUCAGUUGCUUUGACGCAAUCUUUUUUGUUUAAACCGCUAUAUAAAUAAAGAUGACUUGACUUGACUUGACUUUUAGGCU